CCGCUGAAGUCUCAUUUCUCUCAUUUCUGACAUUUCACCCCUCUUUAAUCUGUCAGUGCCUCUACCUCACUUUGCUAUCGCAAUCUCUUCACUUCGCCGUCGCCGCCAUCUCCUCCUCUUCCUCACACCAAGUUCUACACCGAACGACUCAAGUAACAUUCUUCGCUACUACCUCAUCCUCAAUCUGCGUUGGUUGUCGCUAGUUCAUGUCACAGUCUCUGUCGAUGGCUUGUAGCCUCAUGUGGUGGUUUCUAUCGCCGCCUCUGCCAUACAUUAUGAUCUCUAGUUUCAAUUUACACAUCAGUAACCUUUUCAUCCAUCUCUUGUUCAAUUGUGGUUCCUUAUUUGAGAAAUUCUCAUUUUUUAGGGUUUAUGUGAUUCAUGCUAAUUAAUCCAUUCUUGCAAAUCAUCAGUGAAUUUGCGUACUCACUAUUUCGGUCCUCCUUUAAAGAUGUCAACCAUGGCACCUGAAGCAUACAAGGAGGUAGUCCUACAGGCAAAAGAACAUAUUAAGGCAGGGGAUAUUUUUUAGAUUGUGUUAAGCCAUAGAUUUGAGCGAAGAAAAUUUGCCGAUCUGUUCGAAGUUUAUAAAGCCUUGAAAUUUGUAAAUCCAAGUCCAUAUAUGACUUAUUUGCAGGAUCUUUCAAGUCCAGAUAUUUUUACGCGCAUAAAGAAUAACAAAAUUGUGAAUCGUCCAUUGGUCGGGACGUGUAAAAGAGGGAAGACACUAGAGGAAGAUAAGCAGUUAGAAGUGAAGCUCGAGUGAUGAAAAGCAAUGUGCAGAGAAUGUCAUGCUGGUUGAUUUGGGAUGCAAUGAUGUUGGAAAGAUCCAAAAGAUCCCAGCUUGAGGAAGAAACUUGAAAACUCAUUUUUGCUUGGACCAGUUUAGUUGGAAAUUGAUAUAAUUGUAUGGAAUUUUGAUGUAAAUAUUUUAUUAUUCAAAAUCUGAUGGUUGGCAAGAUUAGGGAAUAGUUAAUUGUUAAUUGAUGGUUGGUUUAUGAUUGUUUGGAGUCCUUGAUGGUGAUUGUGUGUUCACAAGACGAAUGUGGUGGGAGCCAGAUUCUUGCUUACAAGCACCAGUGAGGUUUAUGGAGAUCCUCUUCAGCACCCUCAGAAGGAGACUUAUUGGGGCAACGUAAUUCCAUUGGUAAUUUUCUUAAUUUAA